GAUGAACGCUGGCGGCGUGCCUAAUACAUGCAAGUCGAGCGAACAGAUAAGGAGCUUGCUCCUUUGACGUUAGCGGCGGACGGGUGAGUAACACGUGGGUAACCUACCUAUAAGACUGGAAUAACUCCGGGAAACCGGGGCUAAUGCCGGAUAACAUUUAGAACCGCAUGGUUCUAAAGUGAAAGAUGGUUUUGCUAUCACUUAUAGAUGGACCCGCGCCGUAUUAGCUAGUUGGUAAGGUAACGGCUUACCAAGGCAACGAUACGUAGCCGACCUGAGAGGGUGAUCGGCCACACUGGAACUGAGACACGGUCCAGACUCCUACGGGAGGCAGCAGUAGGGAAUCUUCCGCAAUGGGCGAAAGCCUGACGGAGCAACGCCGCGUGAGUGAUGAAGGUCUUCGGAUCGUAAAACUCUGUUAUUAGGGAAGAACAAAUGUGUAAGUAACUGUGCACGCCUUGACGGUACCUAAUCAGAAAGCCACGGCUAACUACGUG
rnacentral:rRNA from 1 species